GAUUUUUUAUAUACUGAUAAUACAUGAGCUGUUAUUUUCUUAAGUGAAGUAAUUGAAAAAAAAUCUGUAUUUGACAGAUUGUGAUAAUGCUGAUUAAAAAUUUAUACAUCUUUUGUGUCUGACAGUAGUCAUAAUAUAGAAUUUACUGGGGAAAAAUACAAUAGGAAGUGUAAAUUUUGAGACAUCAGUGGUCGAGUUUAAGGUGGCACAUAACACUAUAGGGAAACAACUGUAAAAAUUAGCUGGAUGUUUUAAUCACAUUCUAUUGAUAAGGAAAUAUUAAGAUUCUCAUUUAUCAAAAAUAGUGUUUGUCAAAAUGCUAUAUAUCCAAUGAAAAUUUUCCGAUAAAGUGUGUGGUUCAAGUUUUUUGAAAUUUUUAUAUUUUUGUCAAAAGGUCAAAGUAAAUAUGUGGAUUAGAUACAUGUUAAUCAGGUUUUGUAACUCAAUUAUUUUUGUCGAACCUGCAAUGUCUGUCAUCAAUUGUUAAAUUAGCUACAAGGUUUCACUAGUUAGACAUAUCCAUGAUCAACCAGUUAUACUUUUUCUACAGAAUACCUAAAUGAUUGAAGGUUGUUUUUGUUAUUUGUCAACAUGUACAUAAAAUCAUCAAGACCUACUGGAAGAGAACUUUACAAAGAGGAGAAAUUUUCAAAAGCCAAUGAUAAUAAAUAAUCUGACUUAAAGAUUUUAUAUUAAACCAAAAUCAAAAUAUUAAUAAAGACCAGGUUUUAAAAAUGUUUCAGAAAGACUAAAUGUGUUUGUGUAUGUUUUUGAAUGAAUACCUAUUUUUAUAAAUAAGUUGUGACUGCUCUUCUCCUGGCAGCUUCCUUAAAAUGAAAUAUAUCGGCUUAUGUUUUGAAUUCAGUCAAUGCUUGUUUAGUUUAAACUGGACAUUUUUUAUGUUCUAACAUUUAGGAUACUUUUAUUGACAAUGAUACAUUUUAUGUUAGCUUUGUGAAAAAACCAGAUACAAAAUUGAUUAUUAAAAGGAAAUUUGAUUUUGUACUCAUAUGAAUAGCAGUGUGAAAGAUGGGUUGGGAUUAACUAAUUUUAGAGUCAAGAUUUGAGUGAUAGGAGAACAAUAGAUUUAAAGCUUUUGGUUGAUUUGAAAGUGUGCAAUGUUGUUUAAAAAGCAACUCUACUUCAUUUGAAAAGAAAAUGCAUGUUUACUGUCAUUUGUCUAUUUAUAUGUUUAAUUGAUUUUUACUUUUCAUGUACGUGUGCAAUGCUUAUUUUUACUUUUUUCAUUUUUUAUGCUCCAAUUAGGGGCAUUAUGUUAUAUGGUCUGUGCUUCUGUUUGUUCGUCUGUUUGUUAGUCCGUACGUUUGUCAGUCCAUCCGUCUGUCCCACUUCAGGUUAAAGAUUUUGGUCAAGGUAGUUUUUGAUGAAGUUGAAGUCCAAUCAACUGGAAACUUACACAUGUACCCUAUGAUAUGAUCCUUCAAAUUUAAUGACAAAUUAGAGUUUUGACCCCAAUAUCACGGUCCACUGAACAUAGACAAUGCUAGUGCCCCCUUCAGGUUAAAGUUUUUUGUCAAGAUAGUUUUUGAUGAAGUUGAAACUUAGUACACAUGUUUUCUAUGAUAUGAUCUAUCUAAUUUUAAUGCCAAAUUAGAGUUUUGACACAAAUUUCACAGUCCACUGAACAUAGUAAAUGAUAGUGCAAGUGGGGCAUCUGUGUACUAUGGACACGUUCUUGUUUCAUAUGCCAUCCAUUGAUUAUUAUUAACUCACAUGACCCAUAGGGCUAUGCAAGCCUUUGCUAUCUCAUAGCCUUUGUAGCUGUUUAUAAAAUUUUCACAGUAUCAUCUUCUCUGAAAUACUUAUAAAAGUAAUGCAUUUGGUAGGCAAACACUGUAGCAUUAAAUCAUAUUAAAUUAUUUCGAGAAUCCAUUUUAUUUUCAACUCUUAAACUGCUGGAAAUUUUGUUUUCACUAUGUAUGGUAGGUCUCUUACAAAUAAUCCUUGAUUAGUUCAGAUUAGAUAAAAAGAAAUAGCUACCAAAGGCAAUCUUUGAUUCUUAUGAAGCACUUUAAAUCAUAUUCUUCCAUGAACAGACAAGUUGAAGUGUUUUCAAACUUCAGGGUAUUGUUUUUUUGCAGAACAUCAUUAAAAAUCUAUAAGGUGUGACAUAUAAUACUGAUUUUAAAACUAAUGAAAAUUUCUUUUUAUUUUGUUGUCUAAAUUAUUUUAUUUGGGGCAGGAAAAAUGAAAUGAAAAAUUGUCUUUCAAUAAUCUUCAUUUGGUUCAAUUUGGAAAAAAAACCUGUCAAUUGAAUGUCUUGCGAACAAAUUUUACUUGAUAUUUUGAUACAUAUUUUGAAAGUUGCCUGAUUACACCCUUUCCUUUGAAAAUAUUGAUAUGCACUGACUUUUACAAAACAUCUCAAAUGCAUAAAUAAAACUAUUGACCAAAAAGACCAAAUACAAAUUUAUCUUUUAUAGUUGUUAUAUCUUACUGAACCAGAUGUUGUUGUUUAUUAGUAUUUGUUAUCCUCUUUUUCAAUUUGUUGCCUUUAUUAUACGUCUGUGAUACCAUUUUAUUUCAGCACAGUAUUAAUCAUUAAGUAUUAUGUACAUUACACUUAUUAGCAGAUGUUAUGGGUGAUAUGAUUUUGAAAAUUUAUAAUUCAUUUAUUCUAUUUUUUUAUAUCAUUUUAAAUAAACUGUUGGAAUGGAGUUUUGUAUUUUACGAGUUCCCUUAUUAUGAAGGUGAAGGAGAAAAGAUUUUUCUACUAUGUCUGUCAGGCUAUGAAUUUGUUAAUCCAUCAGACUUUCAGCCAAUCAAUCAGUCUAAUGGGGAAAAAAAUUUGGUAGUUCAAUUAUACAAUGGAGGACCAUUUGAUAGUCUGGGAGGUGCAAUCAGUUUAUUAGUGAUUUGACUUAAUUUUCGUCUGUUAUUACACAUGCUUAUUUGUUUUGUCUUUGGCAAAGUUAAACAUUUCAGCUCUUAUCAGACUAGACAUGCAUUUUCAAAAUCUUGCUACUCCUCUCCCUCCCAAGCCC
rnacentral:lncRNA from 1 species